CACUGAUUUAGAUUGAAUAGUGGUUCGGUUAAUUCUCCUUUUCCCCAAACAAGGCAAGAACAUUAAAGAUAAAGGGAAACUAUAAACAAAAGAGAUUAUCAUCAAAAAUAGAUUUACAGACGUCAACAAAGCCUAAAUGGUCAGACAUCUUGGUUUUCAUGAUCAUCAUUCAACAGGUCAAUACUGAACAGAAAACUUGAAGUUGAUAUUUUCUACAUAGUGUGACUUUUUUAUUAAUUUGAAAUGGAAUGUGUUUUUUUCCUACAUAAGAAAGAGGAAAUUUCAACAUAAUGACUAUAAACAAAAAGGUGUCAUAUUAUCAUGAUCAUAGAUGCACAAGAACUAAAUCAUGUAAAUGCAACAACGUAAUUAUCAAUUGAAAGAAGGGAGGAAUGAAAAAGUAUAUUAGUAUUUUGUUGUCCAAAUGAACUUGCUUUGUCCACUCAUUUAAAUCGCUCCAUCCAAUAAAGAUGUACGGAGGAAGAUUUUUGAAGAACAGAUUGCAAAAAUGUUUUGUCUAAGAAUUGUAGGAAUAUUCUAGUGGAUGAAAUAAUUUAUUUACUUGACUCUUAUAUAGUGGACUGAAUAAUUGUACAUAGCAAGCUGAAACAAGAAAACUAAAACUUAACAGGAAAAGUGUUUAUUUUAUAAAUUUGCAAAUAUAAACGUAAUAUUAUGAACACCACAAAGGUAUAAGAUUCAAAUCGUUUGCAUAUUCAUGUAUUGCAAUAGA